rnacentral:rRNA from 1 species
GAUGAACGCUAGCUACAGGCUUAACACAUGCAAGUCGAGGGGAAACGACAUUGAAAGCUUGCUUUUGAUGGGCGUCGACCGGCGCACGGGUGAGUAACGCGUAUCCAACCUGCCCACCACUUGGGGAUAACCUUGCGAAAGUAAGACUAAUACCCAAUGAUAUCUCUAGAAGACAUCUGAAAGGGAUUAAAGAUUUAUCGGUGAUGGAUGGGGAUGCGUCUGAUUAGCUUGUUGGCGAGGUAACGGCCCACCAAGGCGACGAUCAGUAGGGGGUCGGAGAGGAAGGUCACCCACAUUGGAACUGAGACACGGUCCAAACUCCUACGGGAGGCAGCAGUGAGGAAUAUUGGUCAAUGGACGAGAGUCUGAACCAGCCAAGUAGCGUGCAGGAUGACGGCCCUAUGGGUUGUAAACUGCUUUUAUAAGGGAAUAAAGUGAUUCUCGUGAGACUUUUUGCAUGUACCUUAUGAAUAAGGACCGGCUAAUUCCGUGCCAGCCGCCGCCGUAA